rnacentral:rRNA from 1 species
GACGAACGCUGGCGGCGUGCCUAAUACAUGCAAGUAGGACGCACAGUUUAUACCGUAGCUUGCUACACCAUAGACUGUGAGUUGCGAACGGGUGAGUAACGCGUAGGUAACCUGCCUAUUAGAGGGGGAUAACUAUUGGAAACGAUAGCUAAUACCGCAUAACAGUAUGUAACACAUGUUAGAUGCUUGAAAGAUGCAAUUGCAUCGCUAGUAGAUGGACCUGCGUUGUAUUAGCUAGUAGGUAGGGUAAAGGCCUACCUAGGCAACGAUACAUAGCCGACCUGAGAGGGUGAUCGGCCACACUGGGACUGAGACACGGCCCAGACUCCUACGGGAGGCAGCAGUAGGGAAUUUCGGCAAUGGGGGGAACCCUGACCGAGCAACGCCGCGUGAGUGAAGAAGGUUUUCGGAUCGUAAAGCUCAUGAUGUUAAGGAAGAACGAGUGUGAGAAUGGAAAGUUCAUACUGUGAUUGGUACUUAACCAGAAAGGGACGGCUAACUACGUGCCAGCAGCCGCGGUAAUACGUAGGUCCCGAGCGUUGUCCGGAUUUAUUGGGCGUAAAGCGAGCGCAGGCGGUUAGAAAAGUCUGAAGUGAAACAGUGGCUCAACCAUUGUAGGCUUUGGAAACUGUUUAACUUGAGUGCAGAAGGGGAGAGUGGAAUUCCAUGUGUAGCGGAGAAAUGCGUAGAUAUAUGGAGGAACACCGGUGGCGAAAGCGGCUCUCUGGUCUGUACUGAGGCUGAGGCUCAAAGCGUGGGGAGGAACAGGAUUAGAUACCCUGGUAGUCCACGCCGUAAACGAUGAGUGCUAGGUGUUAGGUCCUUCCCGGGACUUAGUA